rnacentral:lncRNA from 1 species
GGCAGCUGUGUGCACAACCAUCUCAGCUCAGGGAUACACAGCUCUGUGGAGCUGCCAGGUGGGCAGCAGGACAGCGGCUUUGUGACACUCACCUACUAUCCAUGAAUAGUGGCUAGGAAGACUUUGCCGUCUUUUCCAUCCAUUCCUGAGCACUGUGGAAAAGUUGAGAUGGAUGUUCCAGGGUUCCAAUGCACCUCUCUCACCUGCCAGUGCAAGCCCCUGUUUCUUUCUGUGCCUUCUGUGAAGGGAGAGGGGGAGCCAUCCCAUCUCGAGAGCUUGUUGUAAAGGAUUUCAAAAGGCAAUUCAAGAGAUUAGAAAACCAGGUCAGUGAGAUGGCUGAGGUAAGGGCAAUCACUCUCAACUGUGACUACCCGGGUUCGAUCCUUGGAACAAAUGAUGAAGGAAGAGAAACAGCCCCGAGCUCCACACAUGUGCCCUCCACAAAUGGCCAGUAAGAGACUAAAUUCCUAGCUAGCAUGACAGUGAGGAGUGGACACGUGACCUGGUUUCACCA